GGCUCUGCGAAAAAAGAGAGUCCUGGGAGGGAGGCCUAGAGGACGGAGGAUGGCGGCGGAUGCAGGAAAGAGGCACCGGCCGAGAGGAGGAGGAGGAGAGCGGCCUCUCCAUAGCAGCAGCCUUUAUACACAUCAAAGAAUCCACUCGGGAGAAAAACCAUAUCAAUGCCUGGAUUGUGGCAAACGUUUGUCUUCAAAGAAAACCCUUUAUUCACAUCAAAGAAUCCACACUGGAGAAAAACCACAUGCAUGUCUAGAAUGUGGAAAGAGCUUCAUUCAGAGAGGAAAUCUUUACAUACAUCAAAGAAUCCACACUGGAGAGAAACCCUAUAAUCGCCCUAAAAUUGUGUUUCCACCAAAAUAAGCCCCAGUGAUUAUUUUGGGACCCAAAAGAAAAUAAGGCCGGGUGUUACUUUUGGCGAAUAUGGAUCUUGAGCCUGUAAUUUAGGGUGUUGGCUAUUCCUACCCUCUUAGUAUCAUCUGCAAAUUUGAUGAGGAGUCCUAUUCCCUCAUCUAAGUCGUUUAUGAAGAUAUUGAAGGGUACUGGGCCUAAGACGCAACCUUCUGGUUCCCCACUGCUUCCUUCCCUCCAUGUAGGUGUAUUCCCAUUAAGGAUCACCCAAUGUGUCAGCCAAUUACAAAUCAAUCCAUCCAACCCAGUCAUGAGUUUCAUCCCACCACAUUUUAGUAAUAGCAACUAUAUUAUGUACCUUCGUGUAUUAGCAUUUCAACUUCACCCUGUUUCUUCCCUAAACUUUGAGCGUUCAUAUAUAGGGAUUUGAGUCCUUUAUGGAUCUUGGGUAUGUUUCUUAUAUCUCCUACUUUGUAUCUCGGUUUUCCAUCCUUUCCAUCACUCUCUACUUCACUGUGCUUUUCCUUUUUUUCCUUCUUCUUUCUCUUUACUCCCUGCCUCUUGUAUGAAUGGUUAUCUAGCAGUUUUUGCUUGGAAUCGGGUUCUAGAGGUCUUGAAGAUUGGAGACCCUUCCCACUCCACUUUCUAACUUCAAAAUAAAGAACUUUUUCAAUCGUACAUACUAGGCAUUUCAACUGGCUGAAAUUGUACCUUCUCAGAACAGUUUUAUGUGAUUCCUUUCCCCAUGCAAACCUUCUCCUUUUAAUACAAUGCCCUUUUCAAUGGUUAUGCUUAAUAUGAUAGGAUGUUUAAUUCACUGUCUCUGUCUCUGAUGUAACUGUGAGGAUUUCUUCCAUCCAAUCAACUGUUUUGUACUUUUCCUACUGAAUGGAGUGUAAAAUGAAACCUGAGUCUGCCCUGGGCUCCUUUUUUCAUUAAGGGAAACCUCUUUGCUAGAUUACUCUAAAGGUGCCUUUAAAUGAUCUGCCAACUCUGUGCCUAAUUGAAACAAGUGUGCUGUGGUAGAAUCCAGGUGUCAGACCUGUCCCAACCUGGUACCUUAAGAAAGACCCAUCAGAAUGAAGCAAAGAGUACAAACCGAUUCCGGGUUUCUCUGCUCUUCAUCGCCUUUCAUUUCCCCCCUCCUUAUUUCCCAUCACAUUCAAUCAUAUUGUCCAUUUGUCCACCUCCCCAAUGCAUCUCCAAAUGGCAGGACCUAACACUAGGGUGUUUGAUAUAAUCUAUGUGGGUUGUCCAAAUAUCAAUAUCAUGUAAGACCAUCCCUAGACAUCUGAACCUCUUGUCAAUUGAAUUCUCUCAAUGGUCCCCUUGUCUUCCAGCAGAAACCGCUACAAGGGACUCUCAUAGAUGACUAUUGGAAUGCUGCCAUUUUAGUGCGGGAGGGGCGUGGUCUGGGUACAUUCCUCGCUGUAUAACCUCUUUCUUUCCUAUCCUGUACUUUUAUUUUCCUUCUUGGGAAUGAAAGGGGGGAGGGAUUGAAUUGAGGGCCAUCUGUUAGACAUGAGCCUCCAGCAAGGGACUCCUGAGAACUUAUUGCUUUCUCUGCCUGCAGUUCUCAAAACAACUUGGCGCCUGCGGAUUGGCUUAUCCUACACCGGACUGAGGGUGAGAUAUCUCUUUUAAUCUGAGGGAAUUGCGUGGGAAUCCUCAGAUCCUGCUUUCUUUGUCUUGCUAUCACUCUCUCAAGAGUUUCCUUUUGAAAUGCCAAUCGUCUCGAGAGUUGUACUUCCUUGAGCGGAAAGGAGAUGCAAGUCCUUAAACUCUCUUAAGGCCAACAAAGCUUUGUGAGAUACUAUUCUCAGCACAUAGGAGAAAUAUAUCUGGGCCCAGGGAUUGAGGCAGGUGUAAGUAGGAGAUGGUCGGUUGACCUUGUCGAGGAGUGGAGGUGGAGAUCCAAAUACAGCCCUGCGAGACUUCUGAAGAGGAGGGUUAACACAUUUCAUACAAUUGCUGAAUGAGAAAAACCAUCUGUACUGCAUUUUCCAAGUUCCUCAUAAUGAUUUCUUUGAAAAUGGACUCAAAUGUAGAUUUAAAAUCAACACAGGCUACAUGCAGAAAUUUUGUCCAUACCAUUUUAUUUAGGUUAGUCAUAAAUCAAACUCUACACCCAGCACAUUGUGCAAGAACUCCUUGUGGAUGCCAUUUAGUUCCGUCAGUUUUAAUCAGUUCGACGGUAAAUUGAGAUUAUUUGAAUUUACUUAUAUAAAAAGGUACCCUUUUUGCUACAACAGGUGGAUUCGAUCAUUCAUCUCGUCCUUCUCUGAAACUUGUGAAAUAGUGUUUGAGGGGCUCAAACCGGGCCCAGUAUUUCUCAUGGUGUUUGACUGGAGCAGGUGGAACAAUUCUUGGCCUCUGGUUUGUGGCCACAAUCUCUUUUUAUGAGAGGGCAAUUUCUGGUUCCAUAUUCUCCUUCAGGAAGGGUUUCAGCUGCAACCAGGAUUGCCCCAGAGAGGGGGCAACUGAUAGGCCAGCUUGGACUCAACCUGGAAGUAACGAAGGCUGAACUUAAGACGACAGACAAAUCCCCAGAAAUCCAGCUCUUCUCAACACACUUAUAUCUUUACGAUUUAUAUUGUUUUGUUUCCUAAUGUGAUUUGAUUGCUUAUUUGAUAUCCAAUGAAUAUCGCUAAGUGUUGUAUCUUAUCUCUUGAAUGUAUUUUUAACGUACUUGAUGAAUGUAUUAUUUAUUAUUAUAUUAAUAAUGGCAUCAGUCGGAACCCUGACAUUAUUUACACUUGAGAGAAUAUGCACCAAAGACAAAUUCCUUGUGUGUCCAAUCACACUUGGCUAAUAAAGAAUUCUAUUCUA